UGUCGACUCCAUUUAGCUCCAGCUGUCCAACUUGUCCAGUCGCAUCAGGUCCAGCAAUACACGCAAAUUCGCAAAUGGCUUCGAGCGUCGCCUCUCGCAUCAUAUUUGUAACCGGCAACAAAGACAAGCUGCGAGAAGUAGUCGCUAUAUUGGGCAAGAUACCUGGUUUCGAAUUGGAUAACCGUGCAGUGGAGCUGGUGGAGCCCCAGGGUGAAAGUGACGCCGUCUGUCGGACCAAAUGUGAGGCUGCUGCACGCCUAGUGGGUGGCCCGGUGCUGGUAGAGGAUACAUCACUGUGCUUCAAUGCCCUGGGCGGCCUACCCGGACCCUACGUCAAGUGGUUCCUCGACAAGAUCGGCUCCGAGGGACUCCAUCGCAUGCUGGCGGGCUUUGAGGACAAACAUGCAGAGGCGGUGUGCACGCUGGGCUUCAGCCCGGGUCCCGAGAAGCCGGUGCACUUGUUCCACGGCCGCACGCAGGGCACCAUAGUGGCACCCCGGGGCAGCAACAACUUUGGCUGGGACACGUGCUUCCAGCCCGAGGGGCACAGCCGCACCUACGCCGAGAUGAGCACGGCUGAGAAGAACGCCAUCUCUCACCGGCACAGGGCGGUGGAGGCGCUGCGCCAGUUCCUGCUCUCGCCGGACGCCGCCCGCGAGUGUGGCGGCAGCUUUUGACAUUUUCUAAUUCCUUGUGAAACGAGCGACCAAACCUGCCCUUUUUCGUGUUCACAAAUCCAACACCCACGCGGGACGAUAUCUUCACUUUAAUUCAAAUCACCCUACCUGCCACAAGGUUUCUUUGUUCUGAAGCCUUCUCUAGAGAGCUGAAAGAAUUUGCUUGUCUCCGCACUUCCAGGAGGAAGAAAAGAACACAGUAAUCAAUCUGUGACCUUGGGAUGAACGGUUAUACAGUGUGAUUUAUUCAACCCACCCUCUGCUGACGGAAUGAGAAUGAAAGAUGGCGGCUGCUGCACCACCCAGGCAAUGGCACCAUGUCUCGAUGCCAUACGUUCGAGGCGUCACUGAGAUAUCAGCCCAUGUGCCACGAGAGGCAGGGGUUGACAUCGCUCACAAGCCACUCUCUACAGCCACUUCAACAGACCACGUUCCUGUUGAAAAUGCGCAGGGCAUUGUGUACAAGAUUACCUCACUGAAUGCCCCGCAUCAUAUAUUGGUGAGCCCAAAAGCUUCCCGGGAAGAAUUCAACACAAGAAUGACCUUCACCACCUAAACAGAGAACGAAGUGCUGUGGCAGAACAUUGCGAGCCUUUUGAUCACCAGAUUAGCCCUAAUGGCACUGUCAUCUUAGAGAGAGAAAACAACCACUGGCGGCGGCUUCUUGUGGAAACCCGGCACAUCCAGAAGACGCCAGCGGCAGCAUGGAAGUGAGUGCAAAGAAUUCAUGCCUGAGAAAGAAUGGGUGAGGAUGAAGAGCCUCUAUUCUCUGCAGCCCUUUAGGAAGUACGAGUCAGCAUCUGUUCAUGCCUUAAGGUGGCAGUCCCACUCCGGCGGCACGCGCUCCAAAUUUCAGUCAUUGUUUGCGGACGCACUGUACUUUCUGCGCUCAUUGGAUGGAUGUGAAUUAUAUUGCAUUAGAAAGCUUACUUUCUGCACUUUACAAUGACACCUAGUAUUUUUGCCGAGCCUGAAGCAUUACGUGACGGCAAUCAAAGCAGUGUGAGUAAAGAACUGCAUUUUUGUGGUACUAGCCUCCGUUGUACUGCAUUCCCGGCGAAACUUUUCAACAUAACAAAAUGAAGUUUGCUGUGUCUUUAGAUGAAACGUUAUACAAGAUUUCUAUGAAGAGAUAUUGCAUGUAAAGCAACUAGAAAUUUAUAUGGGCCCUAAUAAAAAUAGUCAAAACAAUAAAAGUUUAUGAAU